AGAACGAACGCUGGCGGCAGGCUUAACACAUGCAAGUCGAGCGCCCCGCAAGGGGAGCGGCAGACGGGUGAGUAACGCGUGGGAACAUACCCUCCGGUUCGGAAUAGCUCAGGGAAACUUGGAUUAAUACCGGAUACGGUCGAGAGGCGAAAGAUUUAUCGCCGGAGGAUUGGCCCGCGUUCGAUUAGCUAGUUGGUGAGGUAACGGCUCACCAAGGCGACGAUCGAUAGCUGGUCUGAGAGGAUGAUCAGCCACAUUGGGACUGAGACACGGCCCAAACUCCUACGGGAGGCAGCAGUGGGGAAUAUUGGACAAUGGGCGCAAGCCUGAUCCAGCAAUGCCGCGUGAGUGAUGAAGGCCUUAGGGUUGUAAAGCUCUUUCGCCCGCGACGAUGAUGACGGUAGCGGGAGAAGGAAGCCCCGGCUAACUUCGUGCCAGCAGCCGC
rnacentral:rRNA from 1 species